CAGCCGCGGUAAUACGUAGGCAGCAAGCGUUGUUCGGAAUUACUGGGCGUAAAGAGUGUGUAGGCGGUGCUCUAAGUUUGGUGUGAAAUCUCCCGGCUUAACUGGGAGGGUGCGCCGAAAACUGGAGUGCUCGAGUGUGGGAGAGGUAAGCGGAAUUCCUGGUGUAGCGGUGAAAUGCGUAGAUAUCAGGAGGAACACCUGUGGUGUAGACAGCUUACUGGACCACGACUGACGCUGAGACACGAAAGCGUGGGUAGCAAACAGGAUUAGAUACCCUGGUAGUCCACGCCCUAAACGAUGCAUACUUGGUGUGAGCGAUUCAUUUCGUUCGUGCCGGAGCUAACGCGUUAA
rnacentral:rRNA from 1 species